CCUAAAAAAAGGCAAUUACAUACUAAUGGACUAUAGCAACAAUGAAAUGGGCUAAUGUGUUACUCUGGCGCGUUGAUAUCUAUCUUCUAAAAUGUUCGAGAAACUUUUUUUUCUUCAAGCACUUAAAGGCAGGUCCGAGGCUGCAAGAUAUAAUGCCAUGUUUGGAGAUAGAUUCACUUUUGUUACUAGGGCUGUUCGGGUAAUUGCUUUAAGCUUUGAUAUGGCCUGUCAUGGACUUGGCUUCUCCAAGCAUACGUGUCACUCUUAACUUCCAAAAACUGCCUUCUUGUAGAUGUGGGGUGUGGAUCAAUUCCUUGCCAACUAUGAAUCCAAUCUCUUUUUUCUGUUUGUCACUACCUAAGCAAGCAGAUGUUUUAGGCUAAUGGAAAUAUGAGAGUUUGAAUGGUUAGGACAUGAACAAGUAAUAUACAUUUUAGCUGCUGCAAUUCUAAUUUGAAUGUCUGAAUGGUAAGGAUCAACAACUAACUUCUAAAAGUAUUAACACAAUAUUCUUGAAGUGUUUUUGACCUUAUAAUUUAGGUAUAACAUGCGUAGUAAGUACAUAUUUUAAAUAAUUUUUACUUUGUUAUCUCUGUUUUUCAUUUGUACAAUCAUAGUGUGAAUUUCUUUACAUUCAGCUGAUGUAGUCUUUGGAAUGGUCAGUAAAUGGUAUGAAGAUAUCCUCAUCCAACCCUGGGCCUUCUAUAAAUUUUAAUCAUUGUGGAAAAUUAUUGGCUUCAGUUUGUUACCUGACUGGAAAACAAUGUAUUAUCUUUAUGGAUCAUACUGAUCAAUCAAGUGAAAUUGGGUGUCUUGUUUCUCUACUAGCGUCUUAUGUCAAGCUUUAAGUUUUUUUCCCUCUUUAUGAGUAGAUGGACUUUCUCAUGGUGUCCUAGCUCAAGCUAUACCCCUCCUUGAUUGAUUUUUAAACAAUGUUUUUCCAAAAAAAAUGGUCAUCAAACAGGGGCUUAGUGCAAAAAAGUUUCUGCAUUUGUGGAUAAGAAGAUAAAUUUAUACUACAAGAAAAAAAGCCUUGAAUGAUUUCAAAAUUUCUAUGAGUUAUAGUUGAGCAAGGCAAUUUCAACCUUUUGAGAUCUGAAGCUCUCAAGGCUUGAUAAGCUUUGGGACAAUAUAAGGGUCAGUUGAUGUAGUAUUUGGAGCAAAUGCCCGCAUUCCCAUUAUGAUAUACUGAUCUUAGCGACAAUGAACCACCGAUCAGUUAAAUUACCCCCUUCAGUAAGGAUCUGAAAGCAUAGAUGAACAGUGCUGUAGUGAAGCUUUUUUCAAACAUGCAUGAUUUCUCGACAAAGUAUUAGAGCCUAGUCUUCUGUCAUGUACCAUGAAAAAUUAUUUCCCUGCUACUGUUAGAACAUACUGUUACCCUAGGUACUACUUUUAUAUAUAAUCUUUAGAUCUUUUCCAGUUUUCAACUGGACAAAAUUAUAAUAGUACUUUCAAGUCUAUGAUGAAAAUUGGUAAAGUGACAUCAACAUUAUAUGUUUAACAUUGGUCAAGUGACAACAGCAUUAUAUGUUUAACAAGCAACUAUACAAGCUCCAUGCUUUAGCCACGUGGAUUCCGAUAAAACUUACCAACUCAUGGAUAAUUCUGGGUAACCAGGUAGUGCAGAGUCAUCAAUCUAAUUUGAUCUUUCGGCCUCUUAAUGAUAACUUUUGGAAUUGUUAUUUAGCGAGAUCAAGUAUCUAAUGGUCCAAAUUUGAAGUGAGUCUCCCAUACCUCCAGUUAAUUGAGUCCACAAUCGACUGUCUUAAACUGAAUAUUAUCCUUGAACUUUAAAUACUUCCAUAGUUUGGUUGAUGAAAUAUAUGAGAUGAUAUGACCUUCUAUGUGGUGUACAUAAUCGUAUAGCUAUCUCUAAAUAAAUUGCACCGUCUAGGAAAGUUUUAAUAGUUGGCAUAAGUAGAAAGUGUGGAAUUUAUUAUAGUACCCUCUUAGUGUUGGGCUAUAAAAAUAAAAUAUCUGUAAAAUAAUCUUACAAAAUGAUAAGCUAAGAUGUAUGCAUGGUACAAAUAAGACUCCCUUGUACAAGAGCGACACAAUCUCAGUUGGACAAAUUGGGCUAUAGUCCUUUAGUUGUUAACGGUCUAGUUUUUUAGCCCUCGUUUGUUUCCUAUUUUUGAAAGAAUGAAAAUGAAAAAUAUAGUUGUUACGAGCCCCACACAAGGGAUAAAAAUUCAAAUUUGGUGGCUUGAUGUGAUGGAUAACGAUCAUAUUUUUCAUUUUAAUGAGGAAAGAAUGGAAAACAAACGGGGAGUAAACUGAAUAAACCUUUUUACGUAGCUCAACUUAAUUUUAUGGGGAAAACUCUUACUUCGUCUUGGUUUGUCAUGUUACAGUGGUCUCUCUCUCAUCCUUGUGCGUG
rnacentral:lncRNA from 1 species